rnacentral:rRNA from 1 species
GACGAACGCUGGCGGCGUGCUUAACACAUGCAAGUCGAACGGUAAGGCUCCAGCUUGCUGGGGUACACGAGUGGCGAACGGGUGAGUAACACGUGGGUGACCUGCCCUGCACUUCGGGAUAAGCCUGGGAAACUGGGUCUAAUACCGGAUAGGACCAUGGUGUGGAUACUGUGGUGGAAAGUUUUUGCGGUGUGAGAUGGGCUCGAGGCUUAUCAGCUCGUUGGUGGAGUAAUGGCCUACCAAGGCAGCGCCGGGUAGCCGGCCUGGGAGGGUGGACGGCCACAAGGGGACUGAGACACGGACCAGAAUCCAACGUGAGGCAGCAGUGGGGAAUAUUGCGCAAUGGGCGGAAGCCUGAUGCAGCGACGCCGCGUGGGGGAUGACGGCCUUCGGGUUGUAAACUCCUUUCACCGUCGACGAAGAGUUUCUGACGGUAGAUAGAGAAGAAGCACCGGCUAACUACGUG